rnacentral:lncRNA from 1 species
GGAGCAUUCCUUUUUUUCCAGGAGUACUCACGGGAUUUUCAUCUCUGGAAAACUCCUCUCGCAGAGCUUCCACACGGGCACAGGCAAAACACUAAUUUACCAAGUCUGAGCUCUUUGGACGCCGGUGUUGUAUCGCUGAGUGGAGGGCUGCUGCCGGGAGAGCUGUCCUGCCGGGAUGCUGCCGGGAUGCUGCCAAAUGCGCAGGGAAGCGGCUCCCACUAGAGCGCGCUAGGACAGUUAAAACGGAGCUGGUUUUGUGCUGGCAUCAGGCUGGAACCAUCAAAGAUGCCUCUGUAAGGAACGGCACUUUGGUUUUUCAGCAGGGAUUCUGGCUAAGUUCCCCAUGUUUGGAGUACAGCUUCCCUGGAUGAGUGUGGAGCAAAGCCAGCUGAAGCUGCCUUAGAGCACUGAGGUCUGGGCUGGGACCCGUGCUGGCAAAACCUGUUGGAAGACCCUGGCCUCACAGAGGGCAGAGAGAAGCUUUGUCCUCCAUCCCUGUCUCAUCUCACAGCCCCUGUGUUUGCUGCUCUCUGAGGCAGAGGAAGUUUGACAUUUGCCUGCCAAAACCUCCCUUUGCUGACCCACUGUUCUGCAUUUUCCUGGGUUAUCAGCAUCAUCCCAUCUGGAAAGACGGUGGCUCUUUUCUUCACAGACUCUACCCUUGCACAACAGAAAUAAACCAUGAAGGUUGAAAACUAGGAGAGAAACAUUUAGAAUGUAUGGAGUGUUUUUAUAAACCCAUCAAUUUUCAAAC